rnacentral:misc_RNA from 1 species
CCAGACGAAGUGAACAUGUGGAAGGUUCUUCUUCUGACGGCCCUUGUGGCCAAUACGAUAUUGAUAGUGUCAUCAACUGGCACUCGCACUAAAAGCAUUUCAAAAAAAUCAAUUAGUUCAUCUUCCACGUCAUCUUCUAGUAGCACAUCAUCUUCCACCUACCAAAGCAGUAGCACCAGUAGUGACGGUAACAGUAAAAAUUCAACGAGCACUAAAAUAUAUAGCAACGAAAACAGUAACAGUUAUAACAGCAACAAAUAUAACAGUGACAGCGUCAGAAUCACUGGUGGCGGCAAAGAUUACUCAAAAUCUACUGUUAAUAGUGAAAACACUAGCAGUAAUAGCUAUGACAGUAACACCAGUACUGAAACAGAAUCAACUUCCACUGUUAAUGAUAAAGGAUGCAAAAAACCCGAAGAACCAAAAAAGAAAUGUCGAAAAAACGAAAGAUGGGAAAAAUGUCCCGCGGCAUUAUGUCAACCACAAAAUUGUACGGAAUUAGGAUUUCCCGUACCAUGCCCAACGCAAUCAAUAGAUGGUAAAUGUUCCGGAGACCCUGGAUGUAUCUGUAUCGAUGGAUACUUGAGGGACGAAAAUGGAAUCUGCAUACCUAAAAAAGAAUGUCCGUCAUGCGGCGGCGACCCCAAUGCAGAGUCUGGAUGUGGAGUUUGUGACGAACUUUGUUCUUGUAAACCUGUAAAGUGUCCUAAAAUUUGUAAACCGAACUCAUGUAAUUGCAAAAAGGGCUACAAACUUGAUGAAAACCUCCAGAGAUGUGUCCUUCCUGAAGACUGCACACCUACAUGUGGACCUGAUGAAGUUUUCGAUAGCUGCUACAAUGGAGGCUGCCAUAGUGGUAGGACCUGCGACGACUUAGAUCGCCUCAACGGAAGUACCAUUUGCAUCCGCCCGUCCAAAUGUAUAGCUGGUUGUUUAUGUAAACCGGGAUAUUUAAGAAACGACGAUGGUGACUGCGUUCCAGAAAACGAAUGUCCAAAUAGUAAAUGCAAGAAUGCUAAUGAAAAAUAUUCCAACUGUCCUGACUGGGUGUGUUCGCCAAAGACAUGUGAUCAUCUAGGGUACCCGAUAGAAUGCCCAGAUCAAGGCCCAGAUGACCAAUGUCCUGGAAAACCAGGAUGCAUUUGUACCGAAGGAUAUGUAAGAAACAGCGAUGGCGUAUGCAUACCUCAGAAGGAAUGCCCAUCAUGUGGUGGAGAUCCAAAUGCCGAGUCAGGUUGUGGAAUGCUCUGUGUGAAGAAGUGCUCGAACUAUUGGAAAGACAAUUUAGUUUGUCCAUUAAUAUGUGAAAUAAACGGGUGUACUUGUAAAGAGGGACUCGUUUAUGAUGAAAACAUAAAAAAGUGUGUCAAUUACUGGGAGUGCACUCAAGUGUGUGGUCAAAAUGAGGAAUACUCGAAUUGCACUAACGGUGGAUGCCAUGGAGCUCAGUACUGUUCUGACGACAUAAACAAGCCUGUAAAGUGUGUAAAACCUAAAGAAUGCAAGAAAGGUUGCGUAUGCCAAAAAGGCUUUCUAAGAAACCAAAAUGGUGUAUGUGUAGCACAAGAAGAAUGCCUUGACAAUGAGCAAUGCAAAGGAGCUAAUCAGUUCUAUGACACUUGUCCUCCCAACUGUGUACCAGAAACUUGCGAAAGUAUUGACACGGUCAUAGAUUGUCCAAUACAACCCGCCGUUUGCCGGCCAAGAUGUCGCUGUGCCAAGGGAUAUUACAAAGACAGUAACGGGAAAUGUAUUCUCGAAAAAUAUUGUCCCAAACCCUGCCCUGAAAACGAACAUUGGGAUGGCUGUGCUAAUGGUGGAUGUUAUGGACCCAGAAAUUGUUCCCAAAUUGGCGAGCCAACCAUUUGUGUUGACUUAAUCGAAGGCGCCUGUAAAGGCGGCUGUCUGUGUAAUGACACAUAUUUGAGAAACGAUGAAGGCGUUUGUGUUCCAGAAAAGGAAUGUCCAAAUAACAAAUGUGGCAAAAACGAAAGAUGGGAAAAAUGUCCCGCGGUAUUAUGUCAACCACAAAAUUGUACGCAAUUAGGAUUCCCUGUACCAUGCCCAACCCAAUCGAUAGAUGGUAAAUGUUCCGGAGAUCCUGGAUGUAUCUGCAUUGAUGGAUACUUAAGAGACGAAAAUGGAGUCUGCAUACCGAAAAAAGAAUGUCCAUCAUGUCGUGGAGAUCCAAACGCUGAGGCUGGUUGUGGAAUGCUCUGUGUCAAAAAGUGCUCGAACUACUGGAAAGACCAUUUAGUUUGCCCAAAAAUAUGUGAAGUAAACAGCUGUACUUGUAAAGAGGGACUCGUUUAUGACGAGAAUACUAAAAAAUGCGUCAACUAUUGGGAGUGCACUAAAGUAUGCGGUCAAAACGAGGAAUACUCGGAAUGUGCUAACGGCGGGUGUCAUGGAGCCCAGGACUGUUCCGACGACAUAGACAAGCCUGUAAAGUGUGUGAAACCUAAAGAAUGCAAGAAAGGUUGCGUAUGUCAAAAAGGCUUUUUGAGAAACAAAAAUGGUGUAUGUGUAGCACAAGAAGAAUGUCCUGACAAUGAGCAAUGCAAAGGAGAUAAUGAGUUCUAUGACACUUGUCCACCGAACUGUGAACCUGAAACUUGUGAUAGUAUUGACACAGUGAUAGACUGCCCACCACAACCCGCUGUCUGCAGACCAAGAUGCCGGUGUGCCAAAGGAUAUUACAGAAAUAAAGACGGAAAAUGUAUUCUUGAAAAAUAUUGCCCCAAACCUUGUCCUAAAAACGAACAUUGGGAUGGUUGUGCUAAUGGUGGAUGCUAUGGACCUAGAAAUUGUUCCCAAAUUGGCGGGCCAACCAUUUGUGUUGACUUAAUCGAAGGCGCCUGUAAAGGAGGUUGUCUCUGUGAUGACAAGUAUUUGAGAAAUGAUGAAGGAGUUUGUGUUCCUGAAAAUGAAUGCCAAGCUACAUGUGGACCCGAUGAAGUCUUUGAUAGCUGCGUCAACGGAGGUUGCCAUAGUGGCAGGACCUGUGAAGAGGCGGACCGUCUCAAUGGUACCAUUUGCAUCAAACCCAAAAAAUGUAAACCAGGUUGUUUAUGUAAACCGGGAUACUUGAGAAACGACCAGAAUGACUGCAUUCCAGAAAACGAAUGUCCAAGUCGCAAAUGCAAGAAUGAUAAUGAAAUAUAUUCCAAAUGUCCUGCUUGGGCAUGUUCACCAAAAACAUGCGAUGAACUUGGUUACCCGAUACCUUGUCCAGAUCCAGGUCCAGAUGGAAAAUGUCCUGUAAAACCGGGAUGUAUUUGCGCUGAUGGAUUUAUAAGAAACAGUAAAGGAGUAUGCAUACCUAAAAAGGAAUGCCCGUCUUGUGGUGGUGAUCCAAAUGCACAAUCUGGAUGUGGAGUCUGUGAUGACCUCUGUUCUGGUAAAAUUGUGCCAUGUCCAAGAAUAUGUUUACCGAAUUCGUGCAAUUGCAGAAAAGACUACAAAUUGGAUGAAAACCUUAAGAAAUGUGUUCUCCCUAAAGAUUGCACGCCCACGUGUGGCUCUGACGAAGUCUUCGAUACUUGCAUCAACGGAGGCUGUCAUAGCGGUAGGACCUGUGAAGAAGCGGACCGUCUCAAUGGUAGUACCAUUUGCAUCAAACCCAAAAAAUGUAAACCUGGUUGUUUAUGUAAACCGGGAUACUUGAGAAACGACCAAGGUGACUGCAUUCCAGAGAACGAAUGUCCAAGUCGUAAAUGCAAGAAUGAUAAUGAAAUAUAUUCCAAAUGUCCUCCCUGGGUAUGUUCGCCAAAGACAUGCGAUGAUCUUGGUUACCCGGUAGCUUGCCCAGAUCCUGGUAUAGAUGGAAAAUGUCCUGAGAAACCAGGAUGCAUUUGUGCCGAAGGAUAUGUAAAGGACAGCGAAGGAGUAUGCAUACCUCAGAAGGAAUGCCCAUCAUGUGGUGGAGAUCCAAAUGCUGAGUCAGGUUGUGGAAUGCUCUGUGUGAAGAAGUGUUCGAACUAUUGGAGAGACGAUGUAGUUUGUCCUGAAAUAUGCGAAUAUAAUUCUUGUAGUUGUAAAGACGGAUUUGUUUAUGACGAGAAUACUGGCAAGUGCGUGAACUUCUGGGAGUGCACUAAAGUUUGCGGUCAAAAUGAGAAGUAUUCGUCGUGCAUUAACGAUGGUAGCCAUGGACCUCAGGACUGUUCUGACGACAUAGACAAGCCUGUAAAAUGUGUAAAACCUAAAAAAUGCAAGAAAGGUUGCGUAUGUCAAAAAGGCUUUUUAAGAAACAAAAAUGGUGUAUGUGUAGCACAAGAAGAAUGUCCUAACAAUGAGCAAUGCAAAGGAGAUAAUGAGUUCUAUGACACUUGUCCACCGAACUGUGAACCUGAAACUUGUGAUAGUAUUGACACAGUGAUAGACUGCCCACCACAACCCGCUGUCUGCAGACCAAGAUGCCGGUGUGCCAAAGGAUAUUACAGAAAUAAAGACGGAAAAUGUAUUCUUGAAAAAUAUUGCCCCAAACCUUGUCCUAAAAACGAACAUUGGGAUGGUUGUGCUAAUGGUGGAUGCUAUGGACCUAGAAAUUGUUCCCAAAUUGGCGGGCCAACCAUUUGUGUUGACUUAAUCGAAGGCGCCUGUAAAGGAGGUUGUCUCUGUGAUGACAAGUAUUUGAGAAAUGAUGAAGGAGUUUGUGUUCCUGAAAAUGAAUGCCAAGCUACAUGUGGACCCGAUGAAGUCUUUGAUAGCUGCGUCAACGGAGGUUGCCAUAGUGGCAGGACCUGUGAAGAGGCGGACCGUCUCAAUGGUACCAUUUGCAUCAAACCCAAAAAAUGUAAACCAGGUUGUUUAUGUAAACCGGGAUACUUGAGAAACGACCAGAAUGACUGCAUUCCAGAAAACGAAUGUCCAAGUCGCAAAUGCAAGAAUGAUAAUGAAAUAUAUUCCAAAUGUCCUGCUUGGGCAUGUUCACCAAAAACAUGCGAUGAACUUGGUUACCCGAUACCUUGUCCAGAUCCAGGUCCAGAUGGAAAAUGUCCUGUAAAACCGGGAUGUAUUUGCGCUGAUGGAUUUAUAAGAAACAGUAAAGGAGUAUGCAUACCUAAAAAGGAAUGCCCGUCUUGUGGUGGUGAUCCAAAUGCACAAUCUGGAUGUGGAGUCUGUGAUGACCUCUGUUCUGGUAAAAUUGUGCCGUGUCCAAGAAUAUGUUUACCGAAUUCGUGCAAUUGCAGAAAAGGCUACAAAUUGGAUGAAAACCUUAAGAAAUGUGUUCUCCCUAAAGAUUGCACGCCCACGUGUGGCUCUGAUGAAGUCUUCGAUACUUGCAUCAACGGAGGCUGUCAUAGCGGUAGGACCUGUGAAGAAGCGGACCGUCUCAAUCGUAGUACCAUUUGCAUCAAACCCAAAAAAUGUAAACCUGGUUGUUUAUGUAAACCGGGAUACUUGAGAAACGACCAAGGUGACUGCAUUCCAGAGAACGAAUGUCCAAGUCGUAAAUGCAAGAAUGAUAAUGAAAUAUAUUCCAAAUGUCCUCCCUGGGUAUGUUCGCCAAAGACAUGCGAUGAUCUUGGUUACCCGGUAGCUUGCCCAGAUCCUGGUAUAGAUGGAAAAUGUCCUGAGAAACCAGGAUGCAUUUGUGCUGAAGGAUAUGUAAAGGACAGCGAAGGAGUAUGCAUACCUCAGAAGGAAUGCCCAUCAUGUGGUGGAGAUCCAAAUGCUGAGUCAGGUUGUGGAAUGCUCUGUGUGAAGAAGUGUUCGAACUAUUGGAGAGACGAUGUAGUUUGUCCUGAAAUAUGCGAAUAUAAUUCUUGUAGUUGUAAAGAAGGAUUUGUUUAUGACGAGAAUACUGGCAAAUGCGUGAACUUCUGGGAGUGCACUAAAGUUUGCGGUCAAAAUGAGAAGUAUUCGUCGUGCAUUAACGAUGGUAGCCAUGGACCUCAGGACUGUUCUGACGACAUAGACAAGCCUGUAAAAUGUGUAAAACCUAAAAAAUGCAAGAAAGGUUGCGUAUGUCAAAAAGGCUUUUUAAGAAACAAAAAUGGUGUAUGUGUAGCACAAGAAGAAUGUCCUAACAAUGAGAAAUGCAAGGGCGAUAAUGAGUUCUACGACUAUUGUCCUCCUAGCUGUGCUCCUGAAACUUGUGAUAGUAUUGACACAGUGAUAGAUUGCCCACCACAGGCAACUGUCUGCCGACCAAGAUGCCGUUGCGCCAAAGGAUAUUACAGAAAUAAAGACGGGAAAUGUAUUCUUGAAAAAUAUUGUCCAAAAUCCUGCCCCAAAAAUGAACAUUGGGAUAGCUGUUCUAAUGGUGGAUGUUAUGGACCUAGAAAUUGUUCCCAAAUUGGGGGCCCAACUAUUUGUGUAAAGUUAGUCGAAGGUGCCUGUAAAGGAGGUUGUCUGUGUGAUGACAAAUAUCUGAGAAACGACGAAGGAGUUUGUAUCCCAGAAAACGAAUGUCCAGAUAACAAUCAAAAAUGCAAAGAAAACGAAGUGUAUGAUCCAUGUCCUGCUAAAUGCCCAGCUAGAACUUGUGGUAUUGAUGACCGUGUAGCGUUAUGUUCAAAACAACCAGUAGCUGGGGACCCUGAAUGUCCCGCACCAGCUUGUAGAUGCAAAGACGGUUACUAUAAAAACCCUGACGGAGAUUGCGUCAAAUGGGACGAUUGUCCUCCCACUGUAACAUGCAAAGUAAACGAAGUGUACGAUGAAUGUCCUGGAAAGUGUCCACCUAGAGUCUGCGGUAUCGAUGAUCGAUUGAUUGACUGUGCUCCACAACCUGUGAAAGGAGACUCUGAUUGCCCUCCACCAGCUUGUAGAUGCCAAAACGGGUUCUAUAAAAACCCUAACGGAGAUUGUGUCAAAUGGGAAGACUGUCCAACAUGCAAUAAUACACACGAAGUAUACGACCCGUGCCCAGCCCCUUGUCCUCCUCAGAGGUGUGACGUAGACCCGGCAGUGAUCCUUUGUUUAGUUCCUCCACAAGUCGGAGAUCCCGAAUGUGCGCCUGGCUGUCGAUGCGAAGAUGGUUACGUUAGGAAUGCCAAUGGAGUCUGUAUUAAGCGAGAAGAUUGUCCUAAAUGUACCAGAGAAAAUGAAGAAUGGGAUCCUUGCCCAGACCCGUGUCCACCACAAGAAUGUGAGAGUAUUGGACGAAGAUACAAUUGCCCCAAUAAACGUAAAAUGAUCUGCAAAGGUCAAUGCAGAUGUAAAGCUGGUUAUUUCAGAAAUAAAAUAGGCGAAUGCAUAUCAAAAGAAAAUUGUCUGAAAUGCAAAGGACCUAAUGAAUACUACAGUUGUGGCGGUGCAUGUGACAACGUGUGCUCAAAUUACGGUCAGCAGAACCAAGAAAACUGCCCUAUUGUAAACAUCAAAUGUAACGAAAUGUGCUACUGUGAAAAAGACUACGCAAGAGCUAAUAAUGGAACUUGCGUUCCUAUCGAGUCUUGUAGACGUUGCAAAGGAGCUCAUGAAUAUUACGACGAAUGUCCUCCACAAUGUUACCAAGAAUCCUGCGACUCAGUGGGAAGAUUCUACGACUGUGCACUUCUACCUGGAAAACCACGCUGCAAACCUGCUUGCCGUUGUGAAGAUGGUUACUUCAGAGAUAGCGACGGAGAAUGCGUGCCUAAGAAAGACUGCCCUUGCAACGGUGACCCUAAUGCCACAUCUGGUUGUGGAAAGAACUGCGGCAGACUGUGCUCGAACUACAAUAGUACCGAACCUAUUGCUUGCACUAAAGAAUGCAAAAUAAAUGGCUGCGACUGUAGAGAGGGAUAUGUCCUGGAUGAAAAUACUGACAAAUGUGUUCUUCCCGAACAAUGUACUCCACAAUGCAAAAAACCAAACGAAGUGUAUGACGUAUGCCCAGCUACAUGCCCUGGUCAGAGAUGUGGUGUAGAUACUCGUCUAAUCAAAUGUGCUGCUCCUCCAAAACCUGGCGAUCCUCGUUGCAAACCCAACUGUGUAUGCAAAAGUGGAUACUUUAGGAAUUUAAAAGGCGAAUGCGUUCUCAAAAAAGACUGCCCCUGCAAGGGUGACCCUAAUGCCAGAUCUGGCUGUGGAAAGAACUGCGGUAGACUCUGCUCCAACUACAAUAGCACAAAACCAGUCAUCUGCACCAAAGAAUGCAAAAUAGGAGGCUGCGACUGUAUAAAAGGAUAUGUCUUAGAUGAAAACACCGGAAAAUGUGUUCUACCUGAACAGUGUACUCCGCAAUGUAAAAAUCCAAACGAAAAAUACGAUAUCUGCCCAGCACCAUGCCCUGGUCAGAGGUGUGAUAUAGAUACGCGUCUGAUCAAAUGUGCUGCUCCUCCAAAACCCGGCGAUCCUAAUUGCGAACCCAGUUGCGUAUGUAAAGAUGGAUACCGCAGAAACGAUAAAGGAAAAUGCAUACCCGAAGAAGACUGUCCAUGCAAAGGUGACCCUAAUGCUACAUCAGCUGGUUGUGGAGGCAACUGCGGCAGACUGUGCUCCAACUACAAUAGCACUAACCCCGUCGCCUGCACUCUAGAAUGCAGAAUAGGAGAAUGCUCGUGUAGAAAAGGAUACGUCCUAGACGAAAAUACUGGAAAAUGUGUACUACCUGAAGAUUGUACACCACAAUGUAAAAAGCCAAACGAAGAAUAUAAUGUAUGCCCAGCGCCGUGCCCUGGAGAAAGUUGUGACGUAAACCGGGCUGUGAUCAAAUGUGCUGCUCCUCCAAAACCCGGCGAUCCCGAUUGUGAACCCCGUUGUGUAUGCAAAGAUGGAUACCGCAGAAACAGAAAUGGAGAUUGCGUGCUUGAAGAAGACUGCCCUUGCAAAGGUGACCCUAAUGCAGUGUCUCGUUGUGGAAACAACUGCGGCAGACUGUGCUCCAACUACAACAGCACCGACCCCAUCGCCUGCACUUUAGAAUGCAGAAUAGGAGAAUGCGAAUGUAGAAAAGGAUACGUCCUAGAUGAAAACACUGGAAAAUGUGUACUACCUGAAGAUUGUACUCCACAAUGUAAAAAGCCGAACGAAGAAUAUAAUGUAUGCCCAGCGCCAUGCCCUGGUGAAAGUUGUGACGUAAACCGGGCUGUGAUCAGAUGUGCUGCUCCUCCAAAACCUGGCGAUCCCGAUUGUGAACCCCGUUGUGUAUGCAAAGAUGGAUACCGCAGAAACAGAAAUGGAGAUUGCGUGCUUGAAGAAGACUGCCCUUGCAAAGGUGACCCUAAUGCAGUGUCUCGUUGUGGAAAUAACUGCGGAAGACUGUGCUCCAACUACAAUAGCACCGACCCCAUCGCCUGCACUCUAGAAUGCAGAAUAGGAGAAUGCGAAUGUAGAAAAGGAUACGUCCUAGAUGAAAACACUGGAAAAUGUGUACUACCUAAAGAUUGUACUCCUAAAUGUAAACGUCAAAACGAAGAAUGGGAUCCUUGCCCUGACACGUGCUCACCACAAACUUGCGAUAGCAUAGGACAAAAAAUCCACUGUCCCCUUAAACCCGUCGAUGACAAGAACUGCAAAGGUCAAUGCAGAUGCAAGCCUGGAUUUUAUAGAAAUAAAUUAGGGGAAUGUAUAUCUAAAGAAAAUUGCUUGAAAUGCAAGGGACCACAUGAAUACUACAGUUGUGGCGGCGCUUGUGACAACGUGUGCGCUACUUUGAACAAACAGAAUCAAACAAAUUGUCCUAUUAUAAACAUUAAAUGUAACGAAAUGUGCUACUGUGAAAAAGACUAUGCUAGAAACGAUAAUGGAACUUGUAUUCCCAUUAAAUCAUGUCCACCAAAAUGCAACGGGCCUAACGAAUAUUUCAGUUGUGGUAGCGCUUGUGAUAAUGUAUGUGCAACUUUAAGUCAGCAGAAUCAAACAAAUUGCCCUAUCAUAAACAAAAAAUGUAACGAAAUGUGCUACUGUGACGAAGGCUAUGCUAGAAAUGAUAAAGGAAUUUGUAUCCCCAUCGAAUCUUGUCCACCACGAAAAUGUAAAAAGCCAAACGAAGUAUAUAAUGAAUGCCCAGCCCCAUGCCCCGGUGAUAGUUGUGAUGUAGAUCCAACUGUGAUCAGAUGCGCGGCUCCUCCAGAACCUGGCGACCCUGAUUGUAAACCUGGUUGCAUAUGCAGAGAUGGAUACCGCAGAAACAGAAAAGGAGACUGCGUGCGUGAAAAAGAUUGCCCUAAAUGUUACGGAGAAAACGAAGUAUGGGAUCCCUGCCCUGACACCUGCUCACCACAAAACUGCGAUAGUAUUGGGCGAAAAAUUAAUUGUCCGCUUAAAUCCGCCGACCACAAGAGCUGCAAAGGUCAAUGCAGAUGCAAGCCUGGAUUUUACAGAAAUAAGUUGGGUCAAUGUAUAUCUAAAGAAAAUUGCUUGAAAUGCACCGGACCAAAUGAAUACUACAGUUGCGGCGGUGCUUGUGACAACGUGUGCGCAACUUUAAGCCAACAGAAUCAAACAAAUUGCCCUAUCGUAAACAUCAAAUGUAACGAAAUGUGCUACUGUGACGAAGGCUAUGCUAGAAAUGAUAAAGGAAUUUGUAUCCCCAUCGAAUCUUGUCCACCACGAAAAUGUAAAAAGCCAAACGAAGUAUACAAUGAAUGCCCAGCCCCAUGCCCCGGUGAUAGUUGUGAUGUAGAUCCAACUGUGAUCAGAUGCGCGGCUCCUCCAGAACCUGGCGACCCUGAUUGUAAACCUGGUUGCAUAUGCAGAGAUGGAUACCGCAGAAACAGAAAAGGAGACUGCGUGCGCGAAAAAGAUUGCCCUAAAUGUUACGGAGAAAACGAAGUAUGGGAUCCCUGCCCUGACACCUGCUCACCACAAAACUGCGAUAGUAUUGGGCGAAAAAUUAAUUGUCCGCUUAAAUCCGCCGACCACAAGAGCUGCAAAGGUCAAUGCAGAUGCAAGCCUGGAUUUUACAGAAAUAAGUUGGGUCAAUGUAUAUCUAAAGAAAAUUGCUUGAAAUGCACCGGACCAAAUGAAUACUACAGUUGCGGCGGUGCUUGUGACAACGUGUGCGCAACUUUAAGCCAACAGAAUCAAACAAAUUGCCCUAUCGUAAACAUCAAAUGUAACGAAAUGUGCUACUGUGACGAAGGCUACGCUAGAGAUACUAAAGGAAUUUGUGUUCCCAUCGAAUCUUGUCGAAGAUGCCGGGGAGCUCAUGAGUAUUACGACGAAAAUGCACCACAAUGUUUGGAAGAAACUUGCGACGUAGUAGGAAGAGGCAGCAGUUGUCCACCUGACGAUGGAACGCAAAGGUGCAAACCAAUUUGCCGCUGCGAAGAUGGUUACUAUAGGGACUGUGACGGAGUGUGCAUUCCUAAAAAAGACUGUCCAUGCCGUGGUGACCCCAACGCUACUGCCGGUUGUGGAGUGAACUGUGGUAGACUUUGUUCAAACUAUAACACUUCAGUAAGUUGUAUAGCAAUUUGCUACAUUAACGGAUGCGACUGCAGGGACGGAUACGUACUCGACGACUAUUUGCAGAAAUGCGUUAAACCCGAGGAUUGUUUAUGUCCACUACACGAACGAUACUCCUCGUGCAUCCAAGCCGAAACUCGACCCUUAACUUGUGAUGAAAGAGACAAAAAUCUGCCGUGCCCAAGAGUAGUCCAUAAACGCUGCAGAAAAGGCUGCGUGUGCGCUGAAGGUUACUUACGUAAUAAAGAUGAAAAAUGUGUACCAGUUGCUGAAUGCCCAUGCCCUGGUAACGGCAUAUGGAACACAUGCCCACCACAACCGUGCGAUGCUGAAAACUGUCCUAAAUCAAGAGACGACCCCCAAGCUUGUGCCUCGCCUAAAAACUGUGGAGAGCCCAGAUGCACGUGUGGCUUUAAUCAAAAACGUGACCGCAAAACUGGAAAUUGUAUCGCCAUUGCAGACUGCCCACCAUUCAAAUGCGACGGUCCUAACGAAGAAUACCAGCCAUGUCCACCAGGGUGUCCUGGCGAACAAUGUAAAGAUUAUCUGAAUAACUCGACUUGUCCAAAAUACCAUAUCGGCAUCGUAGUUCCUUGCCAUCCGCAAUGCAAAUGUAAGAAGAACUUCUGGAGAAAUUCUAAAGGAAUCUGCGUUGAAAGUCGUGAAUGCGUCAAAGAAGCUAACAAUAAUAGCACCAACGCUGAAGUGGUACGGCUAUUGACAAAAGGAGUCAAUGACUUCGCUUUUAAAUUUUUGCAGUAUGUGCUCAAGACCAACAAAGGACAAAAUGUCAUCAUGUCACCAUACUCCGCUCAGCUUGCUCUAUCUCAACUAGGCCCUUACACAAAAGGCGAAUCCCUGAAUCAACUAUUAGACGCAUUUGGCCUUGAGAACAAGGAUCAGAUUGCGCAAGGUUUCCAGGAAUUGGUAAAAACUUUAAUUGGUGGUAAUGGAGUAACAUUCACUCAGAAUGUGAAAUCUUACGCAAACGACAAAUAUCCUCUUAGUGAUAAUUUCCUGCAGUACACUAAAGAUGUAUUCAAUGCAACAGCUGAGAAUAUUGACUGUAGUAACCCCGAGAAAGCUGCUGCUACUAUCAAUAAAUGGGUGGAAGAUAACACAAACAAUCUUAUCAAGAAUCUGAUACCCAAAGACGUAAUAAACAAUUUGGUCCGCAUGAUUUUGGUUAACGCCAUAUAUUUCAAGGGAACGUGGAAAAAAGAAUUCAACAAGAACAAUACCGAAGACAGAGAUUUCUACGUAAACAAGGAUACAGUCAAGAAAGUACCAACUAUGUAUCAACAAGCUAAGCUAAAUUAUACAUACAGUGAGGAACUUAAUGCUCAAGUUCUUGAACUUAGAUACGUAAACGAAAACUUCAGAUUCAUAAUAGUCUUACCGUCUGAGAUCGAAGGUUUACAAGAUGUUGCGUCUAAACUCAACGCUGAUUCUAUAAAAAAGGCAUUGGACAGUAUGACAACUCAAGAUGUCAAAGUUUGGUUGCCAUCCUUCAAGAUAGAAACCAGCCUUGAUUUAAAGGAAGUCCUUCAAGGCAUCGACGUCACGGACAUAUUUAUUCCUGGUAAAUCAGGAAUUGAAGGAGUUUUGAAGAAAGACGAAGAUUUGUAUGUAUCAUCUGCUGUUCACAAAGCUGUAAUCGAGGUGAACGAGGAAGGAUCGGAGGCCGCUGCAGCUACAGCACUCGUCGUUACAACCCUCAGUCUAGAAAUUUCGACGGAAGUCGUCGCUAAUUAUCCAUUUGCGUUCUCGAUAAUGGAAGGCGACAAUAUUAUAUUUUGUGGAGCCUUUACUGGCAACUAAGGUGUCGUCGUGAUUACUAAAAGCGCACCACCAAAGCCUUUGGAAUUUAUAGUUAAUCAUUCAUUCAUUUUCGUUGUUAUGGAUGAAUCCUCAAUCUUAUUCUGCGGAUCAGUAAAUAAUUGAGGUCUUCCAACAGCGAAUGAUCCGUUUUCAAAAAAUAUUUUGUUGUUCUCGCCGCUUAUUUAUUUAUCAUGUUAUUUAAAAGAUUUUCAAAAUAUAUAUUAUUUUAUAUU